AGGAAAUUACGAAAGUUAUGGAAACUCUUCCGCUCCAUAUCUUCUCUACCCAGCCACUUCAUCUCCUUUCUUCUCCCCUAAUUGUUUUCUUCCGAACCUCUUCAUCUCAAUUCUUCUCCCCUAAUUUUACUAGCACAACUAUUCUUUAUUUUUGAAGUACACAAGUUGAUCCAUUCGAAGAGUUCGUUAUCUCUGAUGUAGAGCUACUACAAAUUCGAUUUCAGAGGUUUGGAGUUGUGCAUGUUAGCUCAAAAUCAUCAUCGAUGUCUUCACUAUCUCUCUUGCUAUGGUUUGUUUAUUUAGCAACAAAAUCGCAGCUGACUGAAGACAAAAAAAAUGCUCGAUUGUGUUGCUCUUAGUCAGAUCCCUGAUUUCCGAAGUGGGUUCUCUAGUGAUUCAAGUUUUUUAGGAUUAUCAACCAGAAGUACAAGGCCUAGGGUUUUGGGUUUCAGCUAAAAGAGAAUUUCAGGAUAACCACCAUAUAUAUGAGAAAACAGACGGAAAAGUUUCAAUUACAAUGUGAAGCAAAGUUUCUGAACCUGAACAAGACCAGAAUUCUGCAAAUUGAUGGCACCGGGUGGAUGUGUUUUCAAGCAAACUACAGUUACAGGGGAAACAAUUCAAGAUACUCAAUCACUAGAUGAAUCAAAUAAUGAUACUCUUGCUGUGAAUACAAAUGAUUCCACUAGAAUCAGGAACGGUCAUGGCAAGACUAGAGGGAAAGGUCUUGAAAAAAUGAAGAAGGCUCAAGGAAGAAAGAUGAAAAUAGAGAUCCCAGUUGGUAAAGGAAGGGCAACUAAACUAGAUCAAUCGAAAAAACUAUCCAAUGAGCUAGGGAUAAUUGCUCGGAAUUUUCUUUUGCUUCCAAACAAGUGGAAAAGAACUCACACGAGAGGACAAAGAUGCAGCACUAAUUAGAUGCCAUGAGAGGUUUGAGAUUAAUUUGGAUGAGCAUUACGUGAAAGAUAGUUGUGAGGAUAUUCUGAAAAACAGAAGCCGACAAUGGCGCUACAAGUUAAAACAACUAUUUGAAAAUGCACGCUCUGAAGAAGAAGCUCGUAAGAUCGAAGUGCCAGAGUUGACCCGAGAAAAUUGGAAUAGGCUUUGUGACAUGUGGAUCAAUCCAGAGCAUAAGGGUAAAACUAACCCGGAAGGAGUAGAGCCUGACAAAAUCGAGUUCUAUAAGCAUACUCAUUACACGAGUGAGAAAGGAUGGUCAUCUUUAGAGGCUGAGACUCACUAUAACAACAUGACAGAUUUGAAAGAUCUAUAUACAUAGGGAGAGUCUUCCAUUACUAUUGAUGAAAUUGUGGAUACUAUACUUGGUACAAAGUCGGGGUACAUAAAAGGACUUGGUUAUGGUCCAAAACCUAAUACUACAAGAUCUACACAAAG